UACGUAGGGUGCAAGCGUUAAUCGGAAUUACUGGGCGUAAAGCGUGCGCAGGCGGUUAUGCAAGACAGAUGUGAAAUCCCCGGGCUCAACCUGGGAACUGCAUUUGUGACUGCAUGGCUAGAGUACGGUAGAGGGGGAUGGAAUUCCGCGUGUAGCAGUGAAAUGCGUAGAUAUGCGGAGGAACACCGAUGGCGAAGGCAAUCCCGUGGACCUGUACUGACGCUCAUGCACGAAAGCGUGGGGAGCAAACAGG
rnacentral:rRNA from 1 species